AGUCGUAACAAGGUAUCCGUAGGUGAACCUGCGGAUGGAUCAUUAUAGGGUGUUGGGUAAUUGUGAGUGGUUUUAUUAUUAGUAGUUUGAGCGGUGUUGGUUGGGAUGCGAAGCAGGAUUGCGAAGCAGGAUUGCCAAGCAGGAUUGCCAAGCAGGAUUGCCAAGCAGGAUUGCCAAGCAAGACAGCCAACAUUGCCUCACGUUAAACUCUAUAAAUCUAACAAUUACAUACAAAAAAAAACAACUUUUAGCAACGGAUCUCUUGGCUCUC
rnacentral:misc_RNA from 1 species